AUGCGAAAUCCUGAUAAAGCAUGGGGGUUCGAUUGCAGAACCCUUCCUCGCUUGACGACUCAAUACACAAGAGCAGGCACAACUCUGAAGCUUCAUGGUGCGUCACGAGCUAAGGAUGACACAGACGAAGUUGCGGGGGUCGAUUUCUUGCUAACCCUCCCCGCUCGCCUCCUUUUGAGGACUUCGAUAAGGGAUGGGGGAAUAAUGCGGGAACAAAUAUAA